UCUAACUAUGGUUAACCUCAUAGGUCAAAUCUCUAAAGAUGCUUAAGAGGAAUAUCACAAUGGAAGCCAAUGAUGAUUUUGUGGGUGGAUUUGGGAUGCAGCCCACGCAGCCGUCGGACAAUAGGCGCAGGAUGCACGAGGUCCAGCUGCAGCUAUGAUGCAGCCAACGAAUGACAAGUGAGUGGCAUCAUCAGCCAUUGCACUUGUUCAUUAGAUGAGCGGUACAUUUUAAACGUGCCCAGCAACGUUUGCAGUGCUGCUGGUGAUAAGGCCACCAAAGCGUUUGAGGAAUUCCUGGCCGUCAGUGGAAUGGAAUAUGACGACUUUGCCGAGUUCUAUGGCAACUUGGCAACAAAGGACUUCACCAUCGCGACCACGCUCCUCAUGCCAUGGCUGCACACCUGGGCAGCACCAAACCCAAGCAACAACCCAAAGUAUGAUGUUGUCUCAUGAGAAGUAGUAAAAUUGGGCUUGCGUGCUAGACAUUGCAACUGCUUGCUUGCAUGAUCUGCAGGACUCAAACGAGGGGGUUGCAACCCCAUAUGGUAAACUUGCUUCAGCAGGCAUGUGUAC
rnacentral:lncRNA from 1 species